rnacentral:misc_RNA from 1 species
AGCCUCAACCUUGACGGGAGACCGUCUCGGUUGGAUUUGGGCGUCUGCCGUCUGGCUCGCCUUAAAAGCAUUAGCGGUCGACUUUGACUCUGGCGUAUUAGGUUCCGUCAGCUUAGAGGUCCCCGCUCACAACCCGCCCUCGGGCACUUCAUUCG